GGGGAAUAUUGCACAAUGGGCGCAAGCCUGAUGCAGCGACGCCGCGUGCGGGAUGACGGCCUUCGGGUUGUAAACCGCUUUUGAUCGGGAGCAAGCCUUCGGGUGAGUGUACCUUUCGAAUAAGCACCGGCUAACUACGUGCCAGCAGCCGCGGUAAUACGUAGGGUGCAAGCGUUAUCCGGAAUUAUUGGGCGUAAAGGGCUCGUAGGCGGUUCGUCGCGUCCGGUGUGAAAGUCCAUCGCUUAACGGUGGAUCUGCGCCGGGUACGGGCGGGCUGGAGUGCGGUAGGGGAGACUGGAAUUCCCGGUGUAACGGUGGAAUGUGUAGAUAUCGGGAAGAACACCAAUGGCGAAGGCAGGUCUCUGGGCCGUUACUGACGCUGAGGAGCGAAAGCGUGGGGAGCGAACAGGAUUAGAUACCCUGGUAGUCCACGCCGUAAACGGUGGAUGCUGGAUGUGGGGCCCGUUCCACGGGUUCCGUGUCGGAGCUAACGCGUUAAGCAUCCCGCCUGGGGAGUACGGCCGCAAGGCUAAAACUCAAAGAAAUUGACGGGGGCCCGCACAAGCGGCGGAGCAUGCGGAUUAAUUCGAUGCAACGCGAAGAACCUUACCUGGGCUUGACAUGUUCCCGACCGCUCCAGAGAUGGGGCUUCCCUUCGGGGCGGGUUCACAGGUGGUGCAUGGUCGUCGUCAGCUCGUGUCGUGAGAUGUUGGGUUAAGUCCCGCAACGAGCGCAACCCUCGCCCUGUGUUGCCAGCACGUCAUGGUGGGAACUCACGGGGGACCGCCGGGGUCAACUCGGAGGAAGGUGGGGAUGACGUCAGAUCAUCAUGCCCCUUACGUCCAGGGCUUCACGCAUGCUACAAUGGCCGGUACAACGGGAUGCGACACGGCGACGUGGAGCGGAUCCCUGAAAACCGGUCUCAGUUCGGAUUGGAGUCUGCAACCCGACUCCAUGAAGGCGGAGUCGCUAGUAAUCGCGGAUCAGCAACGCCGCGGUGAAUGCGUUCCCG
rnacentral:rRNA from 1 species